rnacentral:rRNA from 1 species
UUCCGGUUGAUCCUGCCGAAGGCUACUGCUAUUGGAGUUCGAUUAAGCCAUGCGAGUCUAAGGGAUCUUCGGAUCCCUGGCGUAAUGCUCAGUAACACGUGGAUAAUCUACCCUCAGGUGGGGCAUAAACCCGGGAAACUGGGGCCAAUUCCCCAUAAAUACAGAUGGCUGGAAUGCUUCUGUAUUCAAAGCUCCGGCGCCUGAGGAUGAGUCUGCGGCCUAUCAGGUUGUAGUCAGGGUCAUGACCUGACUAGCCAGCGACGGGUAUGGGGUGUGAGAGCACUUGCCCAGAGAUGGUUUCUGAGACACGAAACCAGGCCCUACGGGGCGCAGCAGGCGCGAAAACUUCGCAAUGCGGGAAACCGUGACGAGGGAACUCCAAGUGUCUAUGCAUUGCAUAGACUGUUUUUUAGCCUAAAUAGCUAUUAGAGUAAGGGGUGGGUAAGACCGGUGCCAGCCGCCGCGGUAACACCGGCACCCCGAGUGGUAGCCACCAUUAUUGGGCCUAAAGCGUUCGUAGCCGGUUUGGUAAAUUCUUGGGUAAAUCGUACCGCUUAACGGUGCGGAUUCCGGGGACACUACCAGACUUGAGACCGGGGGAGAUCAGAGGUACUUGCGGGGGAGCGGUGAAAUGUUGUAAUCCCGCAGGGACCACCAGUGGCGAAGGCGUCUGAUCAGAACGGCUCUGACGGUGAGGAACGAAACCCUGGGGCGCAAACGGGAUUAGAUACCCCGGUAGUC